rnacentral:rRNA from 1 species
AGAGUUUGAUCCUGGCUCAGGAUGAACGCUAGCUACAGGCUUAACACAUGCAAGUCGAGGGGAAACGACAUCGAAAGCUUGCUUUUGAUGGGCGUCGACCGGCGCACGGGUGAGUAACGCGUAUCCAACCUGCCCACCACUUGGGGAUAACCUUGCGAAAGUAAGACUAAUACCCAAUGAUAUCUCUAGAAGACAUCUGAAAGAGAUUAAAGAUUUAUCGGUGAUGGAUGGGGAUGCGUCUGAUUAGCUUGUUGGCGGGGUAACGGGCCCACCAAGGCGACGAUCAGUAGGGGUUCGUGAGAGGAAGGUCCCCCACCAUUGGAACUGAGACACGGUCCAAACUCCUACGAGAGGCAGCA